GAAAAUUUACCUCGCAUAUUAGAGCUGCGUGGCCGCGAAUUCGCACUUACCCGCUGAGCUUAAGCAUAUCAGUAAGCGGAGGAAAAGAAACCAACAGGGAUCGCCUCAGUAACGGCGAGUGAAGCGGCAACAGCUCAAAUUUGAAAUCUGGCUCUUUUAGGGUCCGAGUUGUAAUUUGUAGAGGAUGCUUCGGCGUCGGCUCCGGUCUAAGUUCCUUGGAACAGGACGUCAUAGAGGGUGAGAAUCCCGUAUGUGAUCGGUUGCCCUUGCCAUGUGAAGCUCCUUCGACGAGUCGAGUUGUUUGGGAAUGCAGCUCUAAAUGGGAGGUAAAUUUCUUCUAAAGCUAAAUACUGGCCAGAGACCGAUAGCGCACAAGUAGAGUGAUCGAAAGAUGAAAAGCACUUUGGAAAGAGAGUCAAAAAGUACGUGAAAUUGUUGAAAGGGAAGCGCUUGCAACCAGACCUGCCUGCAGUUGCUCAUCCGGGCUUUUGCCCGGUGCACUCUUCUGCUGUCAGGCCAGCAUCAGUCCGGGCGGUCGGAUAAAGGCUUCGGGAAUGUAGCUCCUCUCGAGGAGUGUUAUAGCCCGUUGCGAAAUGCGGCCAGCCUGAACUGAGGUCCGCGCUUCGGCUAGGAUGCUGGCGUAAUGGUUGUAAGCGGCCCGUCUUGAAACACGG
rnacentral:rRNA from 1 species